CAGUAGCCACGGUAAUACGUAGGUGGCAAGCGUUGUCCGGAAUUAUUGGGCGUAAAGGGCUCGCAGGCGGUUUCUUAAGUCUGAUGUGAAAGCCCCCGGCUCAGCCGGGGAGGGUCAUUGGAAACUGGGAAACUUGAGUGCAGAGGAGGAGAGUGGAAUUCCACGUGUAGCGGUGAAAUGCGUAGAGAUGUGGAGGAACACCAGUGGCGAAGGCGACUCUCUGGUCUGUAACUGACGCUGAGGAGCGAAAGCGUGGGGAGCGAACAGGAUUAGAUACCCCUGUAGUCCCUGUCUCUUAUAU
rnacentral:rRNA from 1 species